UUACAUGCAUCCCCUUUUAUAACAUUAGUUAUUAUGAGUAAGUGAUGCAGCGUAUAAAAUCUUAUAUUCUACCUUCUAUUAGCGAAUGCUGCAGAGAGAGACUUACGACGCAAUAGGUCACGGAUCCAUACGCCACUGCAAGCAUUUAUACUAAAGUAUUUAGAUUCCAAUCAUGAAGAAAACUUUGGACACAAUGUAUUUAUUUUUUGCCAACAAUGGAGUCAAGGUCUGAUUUAGGACUUGAUUCAAUAAUUCAUCUUUAGAAAAAUGUGAACGUUAGUAGUAUAAGAUAAAUUUUCAACUCCGUCUGAAUAUUGUAUUGAUUCAGUUAUAUUGAUAAGAUAUAUUAAUAAAUAAAUAAUAUAAGUUUAUAACUUAGCUACAUAAAAAUGAUCCAUACGCACUUACUUUAAUUAUAGAUGUAUAGUAAUAUAUUAAACAUUAUGGCAAUACAUUUAAAUAUUAAAUAAAUAAUUAAAUAAAUAAUGUUCCUGUGUAGAAAAUUAUAUUAUUAUAUCGUGUGUCAGCAAAACCUGGGUAUACAUUAUUACUCAUUACCCUGUAAAUAAUUUUCAAUUCUGUUUGCAAGACAUUCUAAUUGCACCUAGUGAAAUUAUGAAUUGUUUAGAACAUACAGAGUUAGUAUUCGAAAAGAAAUCGAGAAAUAAAAAAUUGGUUAACAUAAGCUAACCUAACCUAGUAAUUUUUAAAAAAUAAUGUAAAAACCUUGGGUUUACCGAAGGAUUUUCAGCCCAAAUAUUUGGCGGAAACUGGCAGUGAUCUACAAUAUAAUUAUGUAAAAUGUAAUCAGAAAAUACAAAACCGUCAUCAUUUGGACAAAUUGAUAUUAACUCGUGAAAUGCAUCAACUACUUCUUCUGGGGAAAUAAAUAUCAAACCAAAAAACAUUUUCAACCAUUUCCCUAGUUGAUUAUUGUUGCCAUGUAUGCUAUUCUGAGGGAAGGUUCGCCAACAAUCUUCAAACAAA